UUAUAUUAUCUACCAUAUUAACACAAAAUCGGUUUAUGCUACACAUUUCUAAACAUCCUGGUUGUUUUUGUUACACAGAUCAUAUGUGUGUUGGAA